UUCGGAUAUAAUAUAAGAGUCUAACCUAAAUGGAUACAACAUAAUAACUAAUUGGAGAGCAUAUAUUCAACGAAAGAAUAAAGGGCAGCAUGAAGCAUGGCUUUUGAUUCAUACAUUACGCAUCGGCGCUUGGGUCUAAGGUCUAUUAAUACCCACAUUCGCCGCAAUUGAAGUAUUUGUCUCGCGCAGCCACGUUCCACACUCUCCCACGAUCACUCUUGUUUCUUUUCUUUUCUUUUUUUUUCUUUUUUCCUAAAUCACGUAUAUUCUCCUCAGUGUAAAAAUUGAUUGAAACUGCAGAGAAGUUGAACCGAAGUUAAAAGGUAUAAAAACAUAAAAACUAGUAAAGAAAAAUGGUAAAGAAAUUCUAUAAAGGUUGAAAUGUAAAUGUAUAGAGAAAUGAAAGUGUUGUGGCUUAAAAAUUUAAAGUCUGUCUAUGUUUUAACAAAUCUUAUCUCAAGAUCCUAAAAUAAUGAUGAAGACGACGAUUUAUGUUAAAAAGAAAAUUUUGUUUUUUGACUAUAGGUUCUCAAAUUAUUUCAAGAAUUGUUUGGUGUAAGUAAACAAGAAGAAGAGAGAAUAUAAGAUUUUGUGUGAAAGGUAAAGAUUGAAAGUUAUAAAUAAAAAGUUGUAAACGAAAACAAAGUUGUAAAAAACAUUAGUAAAGGAAAGAAUAUAAAAGAAAGCUAGAAAGAUCCAAAAUGUUAAAAGGUAAGUUGCAAGAUAAAUAA
rnacentral:lncRNA from 1 species